rnacentral:rRNA from 1 species
AUACGGAGGGUGCGAGCGUUAAUCGGAAUUACUGGGCGUAAAGCGCGCGUAGGCGGCUUUGUAAGUCGGAUGUGAAAGCCCUGGGCUCAACCUGGGAAUUGCAUUCGAUACUGCAGAGCUAGAGUAUGGUAGAGGGAAGUGGAAUUUCCGGUGUAGCGGUGAAAUGCGUAGAUAUCGGAAGGAACACCAGUGGCGAAGGCGACUUCCUGGGCCAAUACUGACGCUGAGGUGCGAAAGCGUGGGGAGCAAACAGGAUUAGAUACCCCGGUAGUCC